rnacentral:lncRNA from 1 species
AAUGCAGAAAUUCAGUGCCAUGCAGUCACCCGGAUAAAGCAGCACUUACCUUAAUUGAAAUUUUCUCUGUGAACGAGCCUAAUGGAUGAACUACAACUAUGAUUAUGAUUUGCAAGGAGAUUAGCUGCCGUGCUAGCCAUCGCAGGACUUAAACAAAUGUGCUUUCUCCUGCUGUUUUUCAAGGUGCCUUCGUGUAAGAUAUUAGGUACAGUGAAGCAAUUAAUAGACUGAUAGAGCUGAUUUGUAAGACAAGCUUAAAGCUGAAAAAUGUUUAAAGCGAUGUGAUCAAAGAGAUAGCUGCACUUGUCUCUGCCGCUCGCCUGCUACAUACUUCAACCUUUGUCGAACUAAAAUGAAUUUAAAGGUUUA